rnacentral:rRNA from 1 species
UGAAAUCUCACCAGGCCCGGACACUGGAAGGAUUGACAGAUUGAUAGCUCUUUCUUGAUUCGGUGCGUGGUGGUGCAUGGCCGUUCUUAGUUGGUGGAGUGAUUUGUCUGGUUAAUUCAGUUAACGAACGAGACCUUAACCUGCUAAAUAGUGACGCGGUUCAUCGAACCGUGGGCCACUUCUUAGAGGGACUAUCGGAUUCAAACCGAUGGAAGUGUGAGGCAAUAA